GAUGAACGCUGGCGGCGUGCCUAACACAUGCAAGUCGAACGGACUUACAUUGAAGCCUAGCGAUAUGUAAGUUAGUGGCGGACGGGUGAGUAACGCGUGAGUAACCUGCCCUAGAGUGGGGGACAACAGUUGGAAACGACUGCUAAUACCGCAUAAGCCCACGGUACCGCAUGGUACUGAGGGAAAAGGAUUUAUUCGCUUUAGGAUGGACUCGCGUCCAAUUGGAGCGGCCGAUGCCCGAUUAGCUAGUUGGUGAGGUAAAGGCUCACCAAGUCGACGAUCGGUAGCCGGACUGAGAGGUUGAACGGCCACAUUGGAACUGAGAAACGGUCCAGACUCCUACGGGAGGCAGCAGUGGGGAAUAUUGGGCAAUGGGCGAAAGCCUGACCCAGCGACGCCGCGUGAGGGAAGAAGGUCUUCGGAUUGUAAACCUUAGUUAGCAGGGAAGAAGAAAGUGACGGUACCUGCAGAGAAAGCCACGGCUAACUACGUG
rnacentral:rRNA from 1 species